CAUUUCUUAAGCUGUGUUGUUUAUUUAUAAAUCCUUAUCUUGUGAUCGUGCCUGCAAUAUCAUCAUCGUGUAAUGUAGUGCUAAUCCGCAAUUACCUGGAUCCAUCUGACGCAGGUGCCAAGAAACAAUUACAAGUUGUCACCAAUUUGAUGCUAUAAAAUGGAUGUCACCUGGUUAUGGAAUUGACAAACAAAAACUCCUGUCAAGCAAGUUAUAGUCUUAAUCUAACGGUAUUAGCUAGAUUCAUAUUGCAAUAUUGUAACGAUGGCAAAACCUGCGCUGUCUCUACUUUUCUUUGGUUUCUAUCUGGUUUUGGUUAUGUCGACGAGCUCUGAAGGUGUGAAUGCACUCAGAUGUGAACUUUCAGAUGUACCGGUUUGGACUAUCGAUAUCUGUAUGGAAGGAUGUCAGAGAAGACGAAAACACGGAGAAAUCCUUGUGAGUUUCAAGAUCGAUGAUCGUCACCAUUUCCCCGGAUGCGAGUGUUGCUACGGUACAUUAUCGGAUGGCGGAGUGCGUUCACUUUAAUUACAAAUAAAAUCAAACAACACUACUUGUUGGUUCUAUUUCAUCAGUACUGUACUUUUCUUAAUUAGCAUCAUGUUGGAUGCCCUAUUUUUCGUUUUUCUUGUUAUUGGCUUUGGAUGGCAGAUAAUAACACUCCAUCCGAUUCUAAAAAAUAGGCAAGUUUGGUUUUCGUAAAAAUUAAGAAAACCAAUCAUUGUAGUCACUUUGUCAUGUUUUUUUUUUCUAAAUUAUUCUUUGGUCCC